CUCAGAUAGCAAAUGGAUUGAACUGGAUUCUAGAAAGUCAGAAAAGGGGAGAUCCUUGCCCUAGGACAUAAAUUGGGCAAGCCUUAACAUUUUCUCUGUUUUGGAGAGUUAAGAGCCGGAUGAGUGACUAGUCAACGCAGCUGGGGCAACCAGGUCCGAACUCCAGGAAGGCGCACACCCGGAGGGAAGCUGAGCUGAGCCGGGAGGCUUGGGCCUGCUACAAACACUGGCCGGGCCAGUCACCAAAAGGAGGUGAUUGAGGUCACAGUAGGGACGGGGAGAGGUUACUACCUUCCCAGGUUACGGCCCAGUGAUGCGAGCACAAGUGAGCACAGUCCACACUCGUGAUUUUUCAGUCCAAGAAAGAAUGGGAGAUAUUCUGAGUGAAACACGAUCGGUCAGCACCCAUCUACCAUUCUUUGAAAAUCCAGUGCCAUCUAUGAGGAUGACAAAGGACUAAUUUCGCUUCUGAAAGAGCACAGGACCCAGGACUGCUGCAUCAGAGCCCUCCACCAUCUUGCCCACAGAGAUUAUUUUAGAGGUGGAGGUGGAGAUGCUGUUUGUGACAAUGAGGCAUCAAACCACAUGCCAUUGGUGGCUGCAUAGAAAGAGCCCCAGAGAACUCUGAACUGCCUACCUCUACACCUCCUUUCUACAGGAAUGGCUGGACCUCCUCCAGAGGAUCGUCAGAAGGGAGAUAGAUUCCUGCUGUAAGAGCAUUUUCAUUUAAAUUCUUGGAUCCACGGAAGGCAGUAAUGCACACAUUAUGCUGCAUGUGAAGACUAUCUCCUAAUUAAGAAAAAGGGUUGAACAAAGACUUGCCCUAUCUUGCAAAUGUUUUUUUCUUCUCAUAUGACAGCAAUUCAGUCUCCUUUGGUAGCUCACUAUCUGUUAGUUUCUUUAGACAUCACCAACAAAAGGAAAUGUAUGUGUGUGUGCACAGUAUGGCACAGAGAUUUCCAAAUGAUUAUGCAUCUUAUUCUAAAACCAAUCUGAGAUACUUCUUCCAUCUCAGCUUUCAUCCCAUUCAGGACUUACCUUUGCACGGAAGAAUUUUUAAUCUCUAGUAGUUGGCUUUUUCUCAGCUAGGUAUGAUUUAUUCUUGCCCAGGUGUAAUAAGUUCUCACUCAUCUUUGAGACCCUUGCCCACCCCAUUAUGUGUGUGUGUAUAUAUAUAUAUUUAUAUAUAUCGAUAAGCACCUUGUACUCAGUAGAAGAGUUAAAUAUUUAUUGAAUAAAUCUAUU